CUUUAUUAAUUUUUUAUAUAUAAUUUAUAUUAAAUAUAAAAAUAUAUUUUUUAAAUAAAAAGACGAUAAGACCCUAUUAAAUUUUACUUAUAGUUUAMCUGGGGAAGUUUUAAAAAUAAAAUUUUUUAUAAAAAUAAAAAUAAAUCUAAUAAAAUUAAAAUUAAAUUAAAUUACUAUAGGGAUAACAGCAUUAUAUUUUUUAAAAGUUCAUAUUAAAAAAAAUGAUUGUGACCUCGAUGWUGAAUUAUAUUUUCUUUAUUAAUGCAAUAAUUAUAAAAGUAGAUCUGUUCGAUCUUUAAAAUAUUACAUGAUUUGAGUUCAAACCGGUGUAAACCAGGKUGGUUUCUAUCUUUUUAUAAAUUCAUAUAUAUAUAUAUAUAUGUAUAUAUAUAUAUAUAUAUAUAUAUAAAUUUUUCAAGUACGAAAGGAAAAAAAAAUUUUUAUUUUAAUUAAUUAGCAAUUAAUAUGCAUUAGAUUUAGAAUCUAAAUAAACUAUU
rnacentral:misc_RNA from 1 species